CCUACGGGAGGCAGCAGUGAGGAAUAUUGGUCAAUGGACGAGAGUCUGAACCAGCCAAGUCGCGUGAAGGAUGACUGCCCUAUGGGUUGUAAACUUCUUUUAUAUGGGAAUAAAACAGGGUAUGCAUACCCUCUUGCAUGUACUUUAUGAAUAAGGAUCGGCUAACUCCGUGCCAGCAGCCGCGGUAAUACGGAGGAUCCGAGCGUUAUCCGGAUUUAUUGGGUUUAAAGGGAGCGUAGAUGGGUUGUUAAGUCAGUGGUGAAAUUUUGCGGCUCAACCGUAAAAUUGCAAUUGAUACUGGCAGUCUUGAGUACAGGUGAGGUAGGCGGAAUUCGUGGUGUAGCGGUGAAAUGCUUAGAUAUCACGAAGAACCCCGAUUGCGAAGGCAGCUUACUAAACUGUGACUGACAUUGAUGCUCGAAAGUGUGGGUAUCAAACAGGAUUAGAUACCCGAGUAGUC
rnacentral:rRNA from 1 species